rnacentral:rRNA from 1 species
AUUGAACGCUGGCGGCAGGCUUAACACAUGCAAGUCGAGCGAGUGGCGGACGGGUGAGUAAUGUCUGGGAAACUGCCUGAUGGAGGGGGAUAACUACUGGAAACGGUAGCUAAUACCGCAUACCCUCAGAUGUGCCCAGCUGGGAUUAGCUAGUAGGGGGGGUAAUGGCUCACCUAGGCGACGAUCCCUAGCUGGUCUGAGAGGAUGACCAGCCACACUGGAACUGAGACACGGUCCAGACUCCUACGGGAGGCAGCAGUGGGGAAUAUUGCACAAUGGGCGCAAGCCUGAUGCAGCCAUGCCGCGUGGAUGAAGAAGGCCUUCGGGUUGUAAAGUACUUUCAGCGGGGAGGCGUUACCCGCAGAAGAAGCACCGGCUAACUCCGUGCCAGCAGCCGCGGUAAUAC